UGCGAAAUAGCUCAGAUGGGAGAGUGUUAGACUGAAGAUCUAAAGGUCCCUGGUUCAAUUCUGGGUUUUGGCAG